rnacentral:ncRNA from 1 species
CGGAGGACAAAUUUGACUGAUUGCGACCUCUUGAAAAAAAUGCUAAAACAGGAU